GGAGGCAGAAGGGUGGCUGGAAUUUUCAAAAUUAUGAAAUGUAUGUGUGUAUGUGUUUAUGUAUAUCAGAUUGAACGUGUAUGUAUCUAUGUCAAGUUGUGUGUAUGUUUCAGUGUGUGCAUCAGUGUGUGUGUAUGUGUGUGCAUGCAUCUGUAUGUCAAGAUAAGUAUAUGUCAGUGUGUGUAUAUAUGUGUCCGGGUGUGCAUCUGUGUAUGUGUGUGUGCAUUUGUGUG